rnacentral:rRNA from 1 species
GACGAACGCUGGCGGCGUGCUUAACACAUGCAAGUCGAACGGAAAGGCCCUGCUUUUGUGGGGUGCUCGAGUGGCGAACGGGUGAGUAACACGUGAGUAACCUGCCCUUGACUUUGGGAUAACUUCAGGAAACUGGGGCUAAUACCGGAUAGGAGCUCCUGCUGCAUGGUGGGGUUGGAAAGUUUCGGCGGUUGGGGAUGGACUCGCGGCUUAUCAGCUUGUUGGUGGGGUAGUGGCUUACCAAGGCUUUGACGGGUAGCCGGCCUGAGAGGGUGACCGGCCACAUUGGGACUGAGAUACGGCCCAGACUCCUACGGGAGGCAGCAGUGGGGAAUAUUGCACAAUGGGCGGAAGCCUGAUGCAACAACGCCGCGUGCGGGAUGACGGCCUUCGGGUUGUAAACCGCUUUCGCCUGUGACGAAGCGUGAGUGACGGUAAUGGGUAAAGAAGCACCGGCUAACUACGUGCCAGCAGCCGCGGUGAUACGUAGGGUGCGAGCGUUGUCCGGAUUUAUUGGGCGUAAAGGGCUCGUAGGUGGUUGAUCGCGUCGGAAGUGUAAUCUUGGGGCUUAACCCUGAGCGUGCUUUCGAUACGGGUUGACUUGAGGAAGGUAGGGGAGAAUGGAAUUCCUGGUGGAGCGGUGGAAUGCGCAGAUAUCAGGAGGAACACCAGUGGCGAAGGCGGUUCUCUGGGACUUUCCUGACGCUGAGGAGCGAAAGCGUGGGGAGCGAACAGGCUUAGAUACCCUGGUAGUCCACGCUGUAAACGGUGGGUACUAGGUGUGGGGUCCAUUCCACGGGUUCCGUGCCGUAGCUAACGCUUUAAGUACCCCGCCUGGGGAGUACGGCCGCAAGGCUAAAACUCAAAGGAAUUGACGGGACCCCGCACAAGCGGCGGAGCAUGCGGAUUAAUUCGAUGCAACGCGUAGAACCUUACCUGGGUUUGACAUGGAUCGGGAGUGCUCAGAGAUGGGUGUGCCUCUUUUGGGGUCGGUUCACAGGUGGUGCAUGGCUGUCGUCAGCUCGUGUCGUGAGAUGUUGGGUUAAGUCCCGCAACGAGCGCAACCCUUGUUCACUGUUGCCAGCACGUUAUGGUGGGGACUCAGUGGAGACCGCCGGGGUCAACUCGGAGGAAGGUGGGGAUGACGUCAAGUCAUCAUGCCCCUUAUGUCCAGGGCUUCACGCAUGCUACAAUGGCUGGUACAGAGAGUGGCGAGCCUGUGAGGGUGAGCGAAUCUCGGAAAGCCGGUCUCAGUUCGGAUUGGGGUCUGCAACUCGACCUCAUGAAGUCGGAGUCGCUAGUAAUCGCAGAUCAGCAACGCUGCGGUGAAUACGUUCCCGGGGCU